GCCUCCUUGGCUCAGUCGGUUAGAGCGCAGGUCUCAUAUCAUGAUAUGAGUAACGAAUCGUUACGCAAACCUGAGGUCGCAAGUUCGAACCUUGCAGGGGGCA